rnacentral:hammerhead_ribozyme from 1 species
ACCCAGCUGACGAGUCCCAAACAGGACGAAAUGCGCGUCCUGGAU